GAAAGGUCUACAAAUAGGGGACAUUUGUGCUUGUUUUCCAUUAAUCCAACCAUUCUGUUUAUCCUGAAUCGCAGGGGGGCUGUAGCCUCCCAGCUGUCGUAGGCUGUGCUCUCGCCUCUUAGUCCUUUAAAGACAGAAGAAAGAAGUGGUAGUGCAGACUUGCCAAUGACUGUAAAGUUCAAGGAUUUUGAACAUGUUUCUUAAUAAUCUCAUAGCUGACCACAAUGUGACAAUAUGUCAGGUUACAGGUGGAAGCUACGACCCAAAUAAAUCCAGAUUUGCAGACAAAUUCACAAAAUUCAAAGCUUUUAAAUUAAUUUUACAAUAUGUUAACCAAAUCCUAGUUGUUGCUUCUUCCAUAUUUUUUAACUAGUAAUUUAAAAAAAAUCCCCUGAUACAAUUUUCUAAAACCAAAAUGCCUUCAGGUUAAGCAGUUUGAAUAAAACUUUAAGAAGUUAUCCUGAAACUUUUUUGGAUUUAAGUGACUUUAAGAAAAGGUCUAUAUUUUUCUACCGUCUUCAUCAUGUUGGAGUGUACCCACGUACGCCCGUUGUUGUUGUUUUUCUGUUUUUUACAUGACUCUUUGUUUUGUAUACGAAAGACCGUCUGUACGGAAUGACAUCUUCCUACUCUGCUGUGAUAAUGUGGAUCGGAUCUUCUUUGAGUUGCAAUGCAUCCACUGUUAUCAGACCUCUGUAAACUUGGGAGUGGGUGGGUGGGUGUUUUUUUUUGGGGGGGGGGGGGGGGGCUCAACUCGCCGUAUUCCUGUUUUUACCUCUCGCCUUUAUUUCAGCUGGAGAAACAUCAACCAAACGUGCAGUUCGCUCCUCCUGUCUCUCCAGCUCAGCUCGCAGUUAGGAGAAGGGGUAACGUUUGAAGAGGGCCUCUUACUAUUGCUCCUUUUAUACAGACUUUAUAUGCAAAGUGGCUGCCGAAGCAAUUUCUUUGAAUUCUACACUGUAUGGACUUGCUGUGCAGUCGAGUCGUUGCUGACCUCAGAUGUUUGUACUCGAGAGACAAAUCGAAAGGAAGUUUCUCUUUAAUUGUCAUGAACUGAAGGGCCAGUGUCUCUGUGAGUGUCCGUAUGUGCGUACAGUUUUUUCUUCUUUUUUUUUUUGUUCUCUUUUUUUGCACUUGAAAAGAGGAAAGUUGUUACUGUGUGUAAACCAGUGCAUUGCUUAUUUGUGGGAACUGGAUUAACCUGGUUUGUAUUUUACUGCUUCUUUUUAGAUAUUGUGUUACUCCCUGUACCAAAUACUGAGUUUAAGGAUAUUGAUUCAUUGGUGUGAUGAUGAUGAUGAUGAUGAUGAUGAUGAUGGGGUAACUCAAGAGAAAAAGUAGACCACCCCGUUCCUAAAGGGGGUAAGAACUCUUCAGGUUUGCCUAUCAGAGUAAUGCUGUGCUGAUUCGCUGUCCUUCUUCCUCCAGAGACCUAAAAAAACCUCAUGUUAUCGAACCUGUGAUGCUCUUCUGUGCCCCCCUUCCCACCCUUUUCAUAAUGGAUUGUUAAUCUUAAGCAAAUGUAAUAUUUUCAUAUUGUAAUAACUGGUCCUCGUAUUUAGAAAACAUUUUUACCUUCAUGUACCGACUAUACUCUUCAUAAUUCUUUGAGGUGCACUGUGACAAAUACAAUGCUGCUAUAUCACAAAGACUAUUAUUCUGCACGUCACAUUUAGCCGAUGCCAGAAGCUAAAGGUGACAGAUACAAAGUGGGCUCGAAUACAGAGGCCCUGCUUCCAUUGUUUGAAUUCAAUCCAGGCUUCUUUGUGCUGCCUCGGUGCGGUGUAUUAAUCUCAAAGCGACUUCGUGCACAACUGUAGGAUCUGUAGCUGUCCUGUUGGUCUUCCUUUACAAGCAUGACUGGAUGGAAAGAAAGAGUCAAAUGUAGCAGUUUCUAAAAGCUCAUCUCAUUCCUGACAGUGGUUAAAAAGUCUGUGAUGUCUUUUUCUGCAGAUUAAAUCUAUUCCAAACACAGAAGAAACAAUUUAUGGGUGAAUUCUAAUUAGCUGAUUAUUCCUAACCGAUUUUGAACCAACGUGAGGUUUUUUUCAGCAGGUGAUGGUGCAGAUGUGGAAGCAGUUCUGCUUCAGUGUUCUUUGCAAAUAAGCCCACAUUUUGACUUGUUUGAGAGGCAGUUGUUACGUAGCAUUACUAGCAGAAGAAAAUCCUGGCAGACAAAAACUGGGGGACAGCAUCUAACAACCAUUGGGGAAUUUUGCAGCAGUUGCACCUACAGCCACUAAAUUCAGUGGUUUCAGUUUUGUGUUGCCAUUGUUGUAACAAGCACAUUUUUAUUAAAUAGAGUCAAAAUAACUACUGAAUGAAUUGCCAUGAAAUUACAUUUUAAGUCUUCAUCAGUAGAUGACGAGUUAUUAAAACAUUGCUGCCUGUGAGCUUCAGCUGUGCUUUGAUGUUCAUCACUAGCUAAACUUCAUCAUGCAUGCUCACAGUAACAGUGGUUAGCACAGUGAUCUUUAACUGUUUUUAUACACACAUGUGAGUCCAGAUGCGCUAUCAAUGCUAAGAAGUUGGCACCAGACAUGCUGGCUCCAAAGCUACUGGACAGCUACUGAUGGACUACCGAUGUUAGUAAUUAUGAGAGAAGUAAACACAAGAAAUGUACCAAUGGUUUGCAGAUGCAGCCCACAGAUACUGUCUCCCAUGAUUUUCUUCAGAUGUAAAUCAGUAAAAGUCAUCUACGUAAGACUUUGGAACAUUUUAUUCCCGAAAUGUGGGCUUGUUCUCAGAAAGCCGAAAUAUCUCUGCACCAGCACUGGCUUCAGUACAGCGUCAGUGGUAAAUGAUAGCCCAAACCAGCACUGUUGUCAUGGUGCAGUGCUGUUCUAGACAUAAUACGAACUUUUGGGGGGGGGGGGUUGUUUUUAAGUGCAUUACAGAAAUGUGGUAUGCCUCAAAACAGAAGUGUAUUGCGCAUAAACCUUCAUAGUUUUAGCUGCUAGAGUUUCUGCGGAUUUUUUUUUAUCUCCAUGAGAUCAAGAACAAGUUGCCCAAAGUGAUUUUUGUUGGGGUUUUUUUGUUGUUUUAUUUUGUUUAUUGGUCGACAAGUUGAAGCCUGAGCUAUAAUAAUGCCUAAGGAAAAAGUUCCUUCAACUGAAGAAAAACUCUUUACCUGACUUUCACAUUCAGGCAUUUUGCCUGAAUAUAUUUAGACCUGGUUUCAUUUCUAUCCGUGUAAAACAGAAUAUAUUCUUAGCAUAAACAUGCUUUGAGUCUUAUAAACUCUGAGAAUAUUGAGUAGACCUCAGAAAUAGUCCAAAACAAUACAUCAAAAAAUUAUAGUGUAGCACAAAACAAUAUGCAAAAAAAACUAGUGGUGUUAUUCUUAAAUAUUCUUCAGAGAAUCUGUAACUAGCAAAUCAGCCAGUGUCAGCCUUCUGAUAUAUAUCUCUGAUGUACACCGGCCUUCAUUGAGGCUUCCGGGACCUGCCAGAGAGAAAUGAAGUUUGGAAGCUUAAAGUUUUGAAAUGUAAAUGAUGAAAAAAGUGAUGUGGGUUCAAAUUCUUAUCCAGGCAGGAGUCUUGUGCAACACAAAAGCACACCAGCUGCAAAUAAGGUUCUUUGUGGAAAUGCUGUCUGGACAGUGGCUGCUAACAAACUCGUUCAUUCAUGUACUUUCUCUUCCAUUUCUUACAUGUUUGAUUAGCAGCAGCUCUGAUUACACGGGUUCCUGUGUUGGUGACAUGACUGAAGAUUUCCCAUCAAGUGAUUAAACUGCUGUCUUGUCUCUCUUUUGUUGGUUAUAGCUGAAUAUGAUAAUGUUACCAUAAUAGCAUCCCUAAAGUGUGUGGUGCAAAACCUGAUGGCUGGAUUGUGAAGUUGUUCUCCGUGUUUAUUUCUAGUAACCACACUGGAACUGGCUCUUUUAAUAAAGAAAUUCUGAGAAAUGAUUAUGUCUGGGAGUGUGUGUUGUACAUUUAAAAAAAGAAAAAAAAAACCUGUAAACGCUCGGAGAACACAAACAUCCAGUGCACUGUGAUAGGCUGAUGUGCGCCCUCUUGACCGAUCACCAGCACUCUCUGAAUGGAGUCAGUAGUGUCUGUUUGGAAAGUAUUGAACGCUUAGGUUUCCGUCAAUACAAAUGACCAAUUGCAAUUGAUGAUUCUUAUGAUCACCCCACCCAGAUCUGCUUUGCUCAUCAUUAUAUAAAACUGGUUUGGGAUUCACAGCACUGCGAUG
ensembl:lncRNA